CGGAAAUUUAUUCUGGUACUGGUUCUUCUGGGAGAUGUAGUCCCGCUGAGCCAGACUCUCCUUUCUUGGAGACCAGUUUCCUUUCUCUAGAAAACAAGGCUCACAUGUCGCCCUCUGCUGGGUUUCUUGGGACCCAGACUGGCCUCAAACUUGAUAUGUAGCCCAGGAUGACCCUGAACUCCUGACUUCCUGCCUUCUGAGUGCUGGGAUUACAGGAGUGCCUCCCUACACCUAGCAGGUCUGUUUGUUUGUUUGUUUGUUUGUUUGUUUGUUUUGUGACAGGGUCUCACUAUGUCCUAGAACUCACUCUGUAGAUCAGGCUGGCCUCAAACUCACAGAGAUCCACCUGCUUCUGCCUCCUGAGUGCUGGGAUCACACUCAGGUCUGGCUAAGUCAUAGCUAAGUUUCAUUUCCAGCCUAGAUGACAUGAAUCAGAACACAGAUGGAAUGCAGCUGCAGGAGCCCAGCGUACAGCCGAGACAAGCCUCUCUCCUGGGAGGGAAGUGGGCAGAGAACCAGCACCAGGCCCCAUGGCCAGCCAGCCCAAGCCCUGUGUGCUCACCUGGCUUCCCAGGGGGUCCCAGAUGUCAGCCCCACCUGCCUGGUCAUCCUGCCAUUGUCCCUGUCCCUCUCUGUCUUCUGUCCUGAUGGUCACAGUAGACAUCCUCUGCAGUUUCCUCAGGGGAGCCACUGAGGUCGUAACUAAGACAGGCCAUGAAUUACAGGGACAGAGCACUCCAGCUGCCUGCCUGAGCUUAGACACCCAGCAGGUCAGGGCUGACUAUCUGGCCUGUCCCCUCUGCCAAUCCCGAGUUGUCCCGGGCACUCUGCUUUCUCUCUUUGUCCUCAAAUACUAAGCUGUAAUAUUUUCUUCCUCUGGAAGAGCAGCCAGUAUAUUUAUGUCCAGUGUGUCCUUGAUGGCUGUGUGGGAUGGCAGAUACAGGAGGUGUCUGUACGCCCUUUGGAAACUGUUACAAAUGUGAACUGAAUCACCCUACUCCAAAGAAUCCAGUUUUUAGAACAGCCUUGGUUUGUAAAUCAGUGGUUCUCAGCCUGUGGGUCACGACUCCCUUAGGAAGUUGAACAACUGUUUCACAAGUGGUCGAAUAUCAGAUAUCCUGGAGUCAGGUACUUAGGUUACAAUUCAUAAUAGUAGCAAAAUUACAGUUCCAAAGUAGCAAUGAAAUAACUCUGAGGUGGGGUCACCACAGCAUGAGGAAGUGUAUUAAAGAGCCUCAGCGUUGUCGGGAAGGUUGAAAACCACUGAAAAGGAAAACAGCUGGCCCGGGUCUCUGUGGGCAGACACAGGGUGAGCUCUGCUGCGCCUUCGCCUCCAGAGGUCACUGUUUAUCUCCCAAAGGCAAUUCAUGAGGCCCAGGCUAGUACUUAAAAUGGUUUUCCUUGCAUGAUUUGGUCUAUGAGCCCUAGAGUCAGCCAGAAUUUCAGAUGCUCAGGAAUUGUGCUUACCAAACUCAGUGCAGACUCUGCCCAAGGCUCACACGACUUCUCAUAGAACUGAGAAUUUGGAAGUAAAAUGUGUCUCGAACAACGAAGAGCCAAGAAUGGCCAAGAUGUUUCUUUUCCAAUGCUGAAGGUGGAGCCCAGGGCCUGGUGCAAGCUGUACAAGUCUUCUACCACUGAUCUAUGCCCCUAGUCCUUCCAUGGUGGCUCCUAUGUGUAGCUCUACCACCAAGCCUCCUGUGAUAGCCAGACUGAACUUGAAUAAGAACAUGGAAAUAUGGGGAACCUGCCUUUCAGAGAGCCACAGAAUCAGGCAGUUAGGGCAGUGGAGAGAGAGGGGCGGUGAUCCUGACAGAUGGGGGUUCAUUUUAUUGUGGGUUUUUUUUUUUUAUGUGUGUGUGUGUUUAGCCUGUAUGUAUGUCUGUAUACCACACACAUGCCUGGUACCUGAAGCGGCCAGAAGAGGACUUCAGACCCCUUGGGACUGAAGUUACAGAUGGUCCCAGCCACUAUGUGGGUACUGGGAAUUGAACUCCAGUUCUCAAGAGCAGACUGUGCUCUUAAUUGCUGUGCCAGCCCUCCAGCCUCUGAAACCAUGAUUUUUAUUUAUUGUGAUUUUCAAAAUGUCUGUGGCUUCAGCCUUGCCUUCUGUCUGAGGAGUCUCCCCAGCCUGAGGUACAUAGAAUAACACCACGUCAAACAUCAAAUCAAAACAGGGCAGAUGAGAUCACUCACUGGGUAAAGGCACCCACUGGCAACCCCGAGACCUGACUCCAGUCCCUAAAACCCACUUAGUCGAAGGGGAUAUCCUUUUCAUGUAGCCCAGCCUGUUUGCUUAUUUAUGGCUCUUUUUUGAAGUAUUCUUUUAUUUCAUGUAUGUGAGUACACCAUUGCUGUCUUCACACACACCAGAAAAGGGCAUCGGAUCCCAUUACAGAUGGUUAUGGCACCACACUUAGCUCUUUUAUUUUCUUUUUAAAUGAUUUAUUUUUUUAUUAUAUGUGUAUUAGUGUUUUGUCUGCAUGUGUGUCUGUUUAAGGGUGUCAGAACUCCUGGAACUGGAGUUACAGACAGUUGUGAGCUGCUAUGUGGGUGCAGGAAAUUGAACCUGGGUCCUCUGGAAGAAUAGCCAGUGCUCUUAACUACUGAGCCAUCCCUCCAGCCCAUAAGUUAAUCUUUAAAAAAAAUGACGCCAGGGGCUGGAGAGAUGGUUCAGUGGAUAAGAGCACUGACUGCUCUUCCAGAGGUCCUGAGUUCAAAUCCCAGCAACCACAUGGUGGCUCACAACCAUCUAUAUUGAGUUCUAAUGUCCUCUUCUGGUGUGUCUACAGUGUACUUAUAUAUAAUAAAUAAAUAAUUCUUAAAAAAAAAAAGAAACAGUCAGUUCUCUUAACUGCUAAGCAAUUGUUCCACCACCUGCCGCGUCAUUCUUAAAAGUCAUUUUAUAAAGGAGAAGGUGCUAAAGUGACUUGUUGCCUGACUUUGUUAUUUUUAGUUUUAUGAUUUUAUAAUUAGCCUACAUAUUCUUUUUUGCUGUCUGAAGGCAGGAGAGAUGAUUAUUGUAAUAUUGUGCUUUUUUUUUUGAGCAGUUGAACAGAUGACAGUUUUCCCAUUGUAUUUUGAAGCCUGUGUUUAAACGCCAAAGUCUUUUCAUUGACUUUUUGCUUGUUUAUAUUAUGUGUAUGUGUGUAUCUAUGUGGCUGUCCAUCUGUCUGUCUGUGUGUGGGAAUGUGCAUGCAGUGGCAUAUGUGUGGUGGUCACAGGAUAGUUUACAGGAGUCAGUCCUCUCUUACCGAGUGAGUCCUAAGGUUUGAACUCUGGUCUCAGAUUUGUCAACCAGCACCUUUAUCAGAUGAGUCAUCUCCCUGGCCCUGCUUGUUUUCAUCUGUUUGAGACUGGGCCAUUCUACAUAGCCCAAGCUGGCCUCCAACUCACCCUCUUCCAUAGUCAGCCUGCUGCGAACCAGGUUCCAAGGUGUUCCCUAACACUGAGCUUCCCUUUAGCCUCUGGUUUACGAGUUCCAGGCAUGCAGUCCGAGGCUAGAAGCUCAGGACUGGACUUUUUUUUUUUUUAAAGGUUUUUAUUAUUUAUAUGCGAGUUCGUUGUCACUGUCUUCAGACACACCAGAAGAGGGCAUCAGAUCCCAUUACAGAUGGUUGUGAGCCACCAUGUGGUUACUGGGGAUUGAACUCAUGACCUCUGGAAGAGUAGUCAGUGCUCUUAACCGCUGAGCCAUCUCUCCAGCCCAGGACUGGACUUUUAUUUUUGUUUUUGUGGUCUUCAUCGUUUGGGAGGAUUCUCAGAGGCCAGGAACUUCAGCUCCCCUGAUGAACACAAGUCCUGCCUCCUGUGCGGGGGAUUGCAGUCAUUUCCUCUGAUAAUGUGAUAUGACAAUGAGCGCUGUGCAGAGGAAAUCCUCAACUAUAACAGGGCCUUGCUUAGGAAACAUAUUCUAGGCCUGAGGUCACAAGGAUAGUCUUUCACUGUUACUGUUUAUUUAUUCGUUUUGAGACAGGGUCUCACUAUGUAGCUCUGGCCAGCCUUGACCUUGGAAUCCUCCUGCUUCUGCCUCACUGCUGUUGGGAUUACAGGUGACUCCAGAGACAAUCUGAGCAGCUGCCUCUUGCUCCUGCCACCGUGACUUCCAAUCGUAACAGACUGCACCCUAGAACUGUAAGCCAGAACAAACCCUUCCUGAAGUAGCUUUGCCAGUGCCUUUUAUCACAGAAAAAUGAACUAACACGUGAAGUGAUGUCUUCUAGCCCUGAAAGCCAGUCAGGGUUACUCCCUCAGCCACAUCCUCCUCAGACAGUGAAACAUUUCACUGAGAAGCUACAAGUCAAAAUAUUUCAAAUAACUUGUUUGAAAACCACCCAGGCCCAGUGGGGGUGUCACAUGCCUUUAAUCUAUGCACUUGGCAGAGAUGGCAGAGGUAGAGGCAGAGGCAGAGGCAGAGGCAGAGUCAGAGGCUGGCAGAACUUUGUGAGUUUGAGGCCAGCCUGGUUUACAACAUUCCAGAACAGCCAAGGCAAAACAAAACAAAACACCUACCCCCAAAAUCUAGUGUAAUUCCCUGUUGCCUUCUGCUUUGCAUUCUUGUGACUUACAAGUGUGUGUGAUGGUUAGUGUUCAUUUUAACCUCAGGGAAUCUAGAGUGACCUGGGAGGUGGUCUCUGGGCAUGCCUGUGGACUUUCCUUAUUAGGUUAGAUAGGUGGAAAGACCAGGCCUAGCUGUGGACAUGGCCGCAUCCCCACAGGAGAUACUGCACCCUGUAAGUGGAUAGAGGGAGCCGAGCUCAGCAGAAAUGCACAUCCCCCUCCUCCUGGCUGUGCCUAUGAUGUGACCAACAGCUUCCGGUCCUGCUGCUGCGGCUUCCUGCCAUGAUGGUCUGCACCCUGGAACUGUGAGGGAAACAAAACCUUCUCCCUUAAGUCGCUGUUGUCACAGCAACAGGAAAAGACUAAGACACGGGGUCUCUUCACUUCUGGGAGUUUUGGAUUCCAUGAGAUGGUCCUUCUGGAUCUUCCUUGUGUAAUGUCCCAAACCUCGGUCAGUGGUACUUACUUCGAGACACCCACAAGUGAGAUACCGAGACGGAGAUGGAUGCAAAAGCAAGAGGUUUCUUUUCUGGCGCAUCGGGGUCGACCCUCAAUCAGUCCCUUGAGGUGAGUGUCUAGAAGGUGACCCUGGGUGGCUAUUACAAGCAGUUUCUAUGCUUUUUAGGGGUACAGGGUACAUCAGCAAGGUUACAGUUUAAACUUAUUGGCUAAGCAUAUUGACCUUUAAAUCUAUUGGCUAGCAAGCAUCAGUCAGUACAUUCUGAGAAUUUUCUACUCCAGAAUGUUCCCAUGGGUGAAGAAUGGAACUUGGCCGAGCCUUGCCCCGACGCAAGUGGGUGUAAGGCUGGCGAAAGCCCCUCAGGUCCUUCUGUUGCUCUAUUCUCUGGGUACUCUGUGUCCUCUGUUCUUUAGCCGUGGGAAGCCACCAGUGUUCAGUGACCACUUGCUACCUGCCAUUAGGGUCCUGCCUGCUCUUCUCUCUGGACAUCGUCAAACAACACUCCCCUGCUCUGAGUCAUCACGGCUUCAUCUGCUCUGUUUUACAGCCCUCUCAACUCUUCACCCCAAGAUCUCUCAUGCGUGCUACCCUGUGAUAGACCCCAAACUCUUUCUUUUUCUCUUAUUCAUAUCCUAGAUGCGGUAGUAUCUUUUAAUCUUUCUCCCUGAGAAGAGUAAUUACUGUUGGCUUGGAGGUUUGUUCCCACUGUCGCUGUUUCUGUGGCUGCAUGUUCCCCUCCCCCACAUUAGAUCACUCUCGUGUCCCUUGCUUUUUGUCACCUUGAGCCCACAUAGAAAACCACGUUCUUACUUUCUUUUUUUUAUUUUAAUUUUAUUUGUAUGAGUGUUCUGUGUGCAUGUCUGUCUGUCUGUGCACCACUUGUGUAUUGGGCACCUGUGAAGGCCAGAAGAGGGCAUCAGAUCCUCUGGAACUGGAGCUACAAAUUGUGAACCACUAUACGGGUGCUAAGAAUUUAGCCCAGGUCCUCAGGAAGAUCAGCAAGUGCUUUGCUUUUUUUGAUUUAUCAAGACAGGGCAGCAGGGUAGCUCAGGCUGUUCUAGAACAUUCUCUGUAGACCAGGCUGGCCUCACAUUCACAGAGAUCUGACAGCCUCUCCCUUCCAAGACUGGGAUUAAAGGCUGUGCCCCCACUGUCCGGGCUCAGCCACUGCUCUUAAUUGCUGAGCUACCUCUUCUCCCUGACAUCAUUUCAGUUUUGACCCACCCUGUCUGAAUCCAAAGGCCUCCCUAUGGCAAUAUAGGCUGCAGCCACUGGCUCAUUUCUUCAGUCUCUUGGGCAGUGCCUGGUGUGACCUCCAGCCAUGCCUGGGAUUUACCAAGUUGUCCAGGCACCCCAUCUUGAUACACUAUCCAGGAUUACUCUGAUACCCUGAAUACCCUGAUACAUCUAUCCAUGUAAUCAGCCCUAGCCAUUCCAUACCCAGCCCCACCACCCCAUGGCACCUGGGCAGACCUUCUCAGUCAGGACACCAAUGCCCUUUCUUGGCUCCCCAGUGGCAAGUCCUGGAAGGCUUCAUUUUAUUACAAUGAGGUUUUGUUUUACUUUGUAAGCAGAGGAGGGAAUUUGGUAUCUGGAUGGACUUUAGUAUGUGACUUCUGGCCUUAGGUAAGACUCUCCAGAAAUUUCCUUUUCCCCUUCAGGCUACUCCAAGGAGGCCCUUUUCAUCUCCAGCUAUCCCCAGGAGGAAUGAGACCCACUCUACAUUCCCUGCAGCCCUGAUCUGCUCACACCCAGGGCCUCUGUCUGACCCAGCCUCCCUCUGUGCUGGUUACCUCACCUCCAGUUACCUUUAUCUCUUUCCCGUCUUCAUCCUUCAACAAAAUGGGCCAUCAGAGGGGGCAGUGGAGAUUUGGGAUUGCCCAGAUACGAUGUUGUACCUGUCAGUUUGGCUAAGCCAUGGGAUGCCUAGAUAGACAGAUGGACAUUAUUCCCACACACAAGAGACUAGCAUUUGAAUAUGAAAAAGCUACCCUGCUGUCCAGUGUGGGUGGGCUUCACCCACUGGUCCAGUGUGGAUGGGCCUCAUCCACUGGUCUAAUGUGGGGGGUCUCAUCCACUGGUCCAAUGUAGGUGUGAAGGACCCUAGGGGCUUUCACCAGCCUUACACCCCCCGCCGUGGGUCAAGGCUAGGCCAGGUUUCAUUCUCCACCCACAGUUCUUGGGAGGAGCAGCAACAUUCUUGAAAAACCACAGAAUGUACUUACUAUUAGUCACCUGAUCCUCUGGUCCCAGAUAGAGUUUGAAUGCAUAUCUUAAUCUUCCUAUGUUUACUAGGCAAUAGAGUCAAAGGUCAAUAUGCUUAGCCAAUAAGUUUAAACCUUGCUGAUGUAACCUGUAUCCCUAAAAAGUAUAAAAACUGCUUGUCAUAGCCAUUCCGGGUCCCUUCUAGUCACUUGCCAGGAGGAGCUGAUUGAGGGUCAACCCUGAGGCACUGGAAAAUAAACCUUUCGUGUUUUCAUUGAA